rnacentral:rRNA from 1 species
GAUGAACGCUGGCGGCGUGCCUAAUACAUGCAAGUCGAGCGAACGGACGAGAAGCUUGCUUCUCUGAUGUUAGCGGCGGACGGGUGAGUAACACGUGGAUAACCUACCUAUAAGACUGGGAUAACUUCGGGAAACCGGAGCUAAUACCGGAUAAUAUUUUGAACCGCAUGGUUCAAAAGUGAAAGACGGUCUUGCUGUCACUUAUAGAUGGAUCCGCGCUGCAUUAGCUAGUUGGUAAGGUAACGGCUUACCAAGGCAACGAUGCAUAGCCGACCUGAGAGGGUGAUCGGCCACACUGGAACUGAGGCACGGUCCAGUCUCCUACGGGAGGCAGCAGUAGGGAAUCUUCCGCAAUGGGCGAAAGCCUGACGGAGCAACGCCGCGUGAGUGAUGAAGGUCUUCGGAUCGUAAAACUCUGUUAUUAGGGAAGAACAUAUGUGUAAGUAACUGUGCACAUCUUGACGGUACCUAAUCAGAAAGCCACGGCUAACUACGUG